AAUUUGCGUAUAAAUAAUUAUUCUGGUUAUUUAACGACCAAACCAAAGGAAAACAAAGAAAGAAAGGCUUGCGAAGCCAACCCCACAUGAAGCGUUUCUGCUCCUGCGCUGUAAGACACUACACCAAGUGGUAGUAGUAGUAACAGUGACAAAGUGAAGUGCUGCGGUUCCACUCCACCGCAUUCUCGCCAUGGAUCGCCACAGCAUCCCCGGCGUCUCCAACCUCUGCAUCUUCCUCUUCCUUGUUUCUCUUUUCCCACAAGCAUUAACGCUGCGGGUCUCUUCUCCGUCGUCACCGACGGGUCAGAUUAACUCAAAUUCAAUCCUCGUGGCUCUUCUGGACUCGCAUUACACGGAACUCGCGGAGCUCGUUGAAAAAGCCAUGCUGUUACAGAAACUAGAAGACACUGUCGCCACUCACAACAUAACAAUCUUCGCUCCGACCAACGAAGCCUUAUACCGCAACCUCGACCCCGAUUUCAAGCGCUUCCUCCUCCAACCCGCCAAUCUUCACUCCCUCCAGACGCUCCUCCUCUCUCACAUCACCCCCGCCCUAAUCGGAUCCCAAACCCUAACACGCCACGUCACCACUCUCUCCGACCACAACCUCAAACUCUCCGAAAACCUCACCACCGUCGACCAAGCCAGAGUCACCCACCCGAAUGUUGUGACCCGACCCGACGGCGUCAUCCACGGCAUCGACCGCCUCCUCCUCCCCCGUUCCGUCGAGGACGACUUCAACCGCCGCCGCAGCCUCCGCUCCAUCUCCGCCGUCAAACCCGAACCUGCCCCGGAGGUCGACCCGAGAACCCACCGUCUCAAAAAACCCCCCCCACCGGCGAAACCUGGUUCUCUUCCAGAACUUCCGAUCUACGACGCGAUGGCUCCGGGACCCUCCCUGGCCCCGGCGCCGGCGCCGGGGCCAGGCGGCCCGCACCACCACUUCAACGGCGAAAGACAAGUGAAGGACUUCAUCCACACGCUCCUCCACUACGGCGGGUACAACGAGAUGGCAGACAUUCUCGUAAACCUAACGUCGUUGGACGUUGAAAUGGGUCGUUUAGUCUCAGAGGGUUACGUGCUCACCGUUUUGGCACCAAACGACGAAGCGAUGGCGAAGUUGACGACGGAGCAGUUAAGCGAACCGGGGGCACCGGAGCAGAUAAUGUACUAUCACAUAAUCCCGGAGUACCAGACCGAAGAGAGUAUGUACAAUGCCGUUAGAAGGUUCGGGAAGGUUCGUUACGAUACCCUACGGUUGCCGCAUAAGGUGGUUGCUCAAGAAGCUGAUGGGUCCGUUAAAUUCGGGCACGGGGACGGGUCGGCUUAUUUGUUCGACCCGGAUAUUUACACAGACGGGCGGAUCUCGGUUCAGGGGAUUGAUGGGGUUUUGUUUCCGGCGGCGGAGGAGGAUGCGGAGCGGGUUAGACCCGUUACCCAAACGGGUCAGAACGCUACGAAGCUUGUUGUCAAGCACAGGAGAGGAAAAUUGCUGGAAACAGCAUGCUGGAUGCUUGGAACCUUUGGACAGCAUUCUAGAUUCGCCUCUUGUCAAUGAAGAAGCCCACGUUUUUGUUGCUAGCAAGAUUUCUCAAAACAAUGAAGUGAGAUUGCAACUUGUUGUUUCAUUUACUAGAUAACCAUCUGAUUAAUCGGAUCUCAUUAGGUGAUCCAAUGGAUAUCUCUUCGAUGUAAAAAGUCAAAAGAAAAGGCCAUCUUGCUUGAAUGGGAUGUAGCCAGCUGCUAUGGGCGUGAUUUUCCCACAUUUUUGUUUUGCUCUUUUUUUUUUUUGUCCAUUAUUGUCUUUUGUGCAUUUGGGUCAAAAGCUUUUCUAGUCUACUUGUCAUACCAUAUAAUGCAUAUAUGUGCUUAGAUUCAGUUACUACUUCUACUCCAAUUCCAUAGGUGGUUGUGUUGCUGGGAAGGAAGGUUUUCUUUAACCAAACAGGGAAUCUUUCUGUUAGACAUGUGCCCAUUCAAUAAAUAAUUUUACGGAAGAAAUGGAAAUACAACAAUAAAAUGAUUCUUUACUGUGUA